UCAUGUUACAAAAAGGCCUAUCUACAAAUAGGUGGACAAGAUAAAACAUUAAAAAUAGACUAGAGCAUUUUCCAUCUCCAUUGAUAAGAAAUAGGUGAAAAGAAAUUAAACUUACUCUUUUCAUCUUGCGUAAACGUCUUGUGCUGCUAUGUAGAAGAGGUAUAAUCUUUUUAUAUGGUGAAUCAUGAAGAAACUUAUAGCACAGUGCUAUCAUGUAUGGUAUUGGUGAAUAGUAGUCAUAGUGGUUUAGGAUAGUUUUUCAUGUGUUGGCUAAUUGGUUAUUGUUUGUAAUUGUCAGUUUCUCUUCACAUAUGAACCAUGCAUACUUGCUGGUGGGUGAUCCAAAAAUGAUCUCAACCAAUAAAACUUUUAGCGAGUAUGAUAGAACUGGAGUUCUGGAUAUGGAUAGCAGACUACUUUUGACGGCACUCAGUUUCUUGAAUCCUGUACAUUUCACAAACAUAAUAUAUUGCUUUCAAUGUUUUGGAUUUUACCAUGUGAGUGCCUCUGCAGAGAUUUUUGAAUUGCUUUCUUAUGCUUCCACCUAUUUUCUUCCAGAACGAUGAUGUGAUUUGUGCUAAAAUUGUACACUAUGGUGUUGAUAAGCAUGAAUUAUUUGCUGUCCUCACAUACAGUCGUAAGCCUUAUCAACUUGAUCAUAGUGUUCUCUUUUCAUUUUUUAGCGGCAUGAUUGAAGGGCGAGACUACCAGCUGGUGCAGGAGAAGAUAUGUAUUCGGCGUGUCCUGAAGAGGUAGUCCACGAACCGGCAAUGGAGGAAAUAAGGUAGAGACGGCAAUAGCAGCAAGUACGUCAAGCGCUAGGGAUGUGGAUAUGGUGUGGCAUAAAGAUGUAGUCCACAAACCUCUACUAGGUGCUCCUCUCUCACCUCUUGCAUCCUCUGGCACUGUGAUUUUAUUUCUAAUAUGUGGCUUCGCCGAAU
rnacentral:lncRNA from 1 species